rnacentral:rRNA from 1 species
CCUACGGGAGGCAGCAGUGAGGAAUAUUGGUCAAUGGCCGGAAGGCUGAACCAGCCAAGCCGCGUGAAGGACGAAGGUGCCAAACAUUGUAAACUUCGUUUGUCAAGGGACAAAAGCAGGCUCGAGAGCCUGACCGAGGGUACUUGAAGAAAAAGCAUCGGCUAACUCCGUGCCAGCAGCCGCGGUAAUACGUAUGGUGCAAGCGUUAUCCGGAUUUACUGGGUGUAAAGGGAGCGCAGGCGGCGCGUUAAGCCUGGUGUGAAAGCCCGCGGCCCAACCGCGGGACUGCAUUGGG